rnacentral:rRNA from 1 species
CUAGCGGCAGGCUUACACAUGCAAGUCGAGGGGUAACAGGUCACUUCGGUGAUGCUGACGACCGGCGCACGGGUGAGUAACGCGUAUGGAACCUACCUGAAACAGGGGGAUAGCUUCCGGAAACGGGGAUUAAUACCCCAUACGAUUCAUUUGUGGCCUCACAAAUGGAUAAAAGCUACGGCGGUUUCAGAUGGUCAUGCGUACCAUUAGUUAGUUGGUGAGGUAAAGGCUCACCAAGGCGAUGAUGGUUAGGGGUCCUGAGAGGGUAGUCCCCCACACUGGUACUGAGACACGGACCAGACUCCUACGGGAGGCAGCAGUGAGGAAUAUUGGUCAAUGGGCGCUAGCCUGAACCAGCCAUGCCGCGUGCAGGAAGACGGCCCUACGGGUUGUAAACUGCUUUUCUGCAGGAAGAAUAUAUAGUCUUAGGGCUAUAUUGACGGUACUGCAGGAAUAAGCAUCGGCUAACUCCGUGCCAGCAGCCGCGGUAAUACGGAGGAUGCAAGCAUUAUCCGGAUUCAUUGGGUUUAAAGGGUGCGCAGGCUGUAAAGCAAGUCAGUGGUGAAAGCCCUGGGCUUAACUCAGGGAUUGCCAUUGAAACUGUUUUACUAGAGUGUAGUAGAGGACGGCGGAAUGAGUUGUGUAGCGGUGAAAUGCAUAGAUAUAACUCAGAACACCUAUUGCGUAGGCAGCUGUCUAUACUACAACUGACGCUGAGGCACGAAAGCGUGGGGAGCGAACAGGAUUAGAUACCCUGGUAGUCCACGCUGUAAACGAUGAUCACUCGUUGUUGGCUACUUAGUAGUCAGUGACCAAGGGAAACCGAUAAGUGAUCCACCUGGGGAGUACGU